CAAUGAUUCACCGUCAGCACACGGUCCAGCAGCAGCUGGUAUGCAUGUAACUGAGGCUCUCUUACUAUCAGGAUGCACGUUCUCUCUCUUGUCUUAGGGAGAUCUCAACUGAACCGACUCCUCACCUAAUGCUUCAGCAAUGCCUAACGUGGGAGUGACUAGGCACACCCAAUUGCAACUGCCCCCAUUUCAAACAGCUGGCUUGCAGGGCAUCUAAGAAUUAGUUUUCACUUUGCAUUAGGUGUCUUCAGCCCGUUGAAGCAGAACCUUAACUUACUGUAUUCAACGGCUUUUGGACGAUCCCCUUUUGCUUUCUGCAGAAAAUUAAAAAGAAGGACAAAAUUUUGUUUUAAGGUCCCUGAUUUUGUUUUUCUGCCAAAGCAAAUGAAGGGUCUUUGUUAAAAUUGGUUUUCAGCUGCUCUCAGAGAAUACCCAAGCUAUUCAGGAGGAUUGUACAGCUGAAAUUAUCUGCGACUUUUAGGUUGUGUAUGGAUCAUUUGCCUUGGGAAAGUCCACUAUGAAAUAACAGCCUGCUUUGAUGGGGUUAUCAUUAUCAGAGCAGAGGUGCCCUGUUUCUGCUAUGAAAUCUUCAGCAGAAGGAUGCCGCUGCUCCUUUAUUCUACCGCCUUUGCGGCUGAUGGCAAUGUCCAAAUGCAAGGCAGAAAAGCAUCUUUCAUAGUCUGGACGCAGGUAACUGCAGUGAAAUUGUAUCCCACAAAGCAGCCUGGCCAAAAGCUUUCCAGAAGAGUGCAAACAUUCUGAUUUUUCUGGAGAAGCAAGGCCAGCCCUUGCAGUUGUUCCGUGGGAUAUACCCGGCAGACCAACAUCACUCUGACCUUGGCAGCUCUCCCCAACUCUUAUUUUCCAUGUUGAAGAAUCUUUGAAAUGCCACUUGUGUCCUGGACACCAUCACUACUCUUGCCUUUCGUGCAUUUCUCUUGGAUGCAUGGCCUUGGGCCAGCAGACUGUACUGCAGGGGACGGAGGAGGCUGGAAGUGGUAUCAGUGCUGUGAGUGCUUGGUCCUGAGGGGAUGGUGGCUCAGAGUGCUGGAUUGGUGAUAUAUCUGAUAAAAAGCCCCAUCUGCUCCAUUCUUAUUACUGGCCACACAAAGCUGUUGGAUUAUUGCACAUUACAGCCUCCCAGUAGCUGGAGGUUUUACAGCCUGCAUUUUACCCUUGGUAGUUCAGCUUAUGGUGGAGAACUGGAUGUGAGCAGCAGCCCUGGUUUUAUGGUUGAAGGCAGUGAAGUCACACUGAGCACCUGACAGCGGGGCAAGAGACUGCAGUUACAGACAGCGGUGCUAUCAGGGGCAGCAAAGUUGGCCGACUCACUGGAGAAACAUAUUUGACUUUCAAAGUACUGAGUGUUAGCACUGGAAACCAUAAACUUUACUGCUUUGAUUUGGAAAUGACUGCAUUGAAUGUCCAGUUCACCCAGUCCUAGGGGCUUGAGUUUUAUCGCAUGCGGGUGAUAAAAGACUGUCAAUGUUAUUCUUCUGUUAAAUACUUAUAGGAAUUCCUUCAUGCAGUACUUUGCAGUUCUCCAUGCCCUCUUCUAAACCCUGUCCUGAGAAGGGGGGAUAUUUGCCAUCUCACAAAUAGGUAAUGAGGGAAGGGAGAUGCUGACUUGCCUAACGUAAGACAUGAAGUCUGCUCUGGAGUGAGGAGCCUUGGCUCUGGUUUCUAGCCUUGGGCCUCUGCAUAGUGUUUCCUUGUUCUCCCAGUGCCUGAAAGAGGCUGUAUGUCUCAGUACAUGGAAA
rnacentral:lncRNA from 1 species